UACGAAGGGGGCUAGCGUUGCUCGGAAUUACUGGGCGUAAGGGGAGCGUAGGCGGACAUUUAAGUCAGGGGUGAAAUCCCAGAGCUCAACUCUGGAACUGCCUUUGAUACUGGAUGUCUUGAGUGUGAGAGAGGUAUGUGGAACUCCGAGUGUAGAGGUGAAAUUCGUAGAUAUUCGGAAGAACACCAGUGGCGAAGGCGACAUACUGGCUCAUUACUGACGCUGAGGCUCGAAAGCGUGGGGAGCAAACAGG
rnacentral:rRNA from 1 species